rnacentral:rRNA from 1 species
AUUGAACGCUGGCGGCAGGCCUAACACAUGCAAGUCGAGCGGCAGCGCGGGGCAACCUGGCGGCGAGCGGCGAACGGGUGAGUAAUACAUCGGAACGUGCCCAGUAGUGGGGGGAUAGCCCGGCGAAAGCCGGAUUAAUACCGCAUACGACCUACGGGUGAAAGCAGGGGAUCGCAAGACCUUGCGCUAUUGGAGCGGCCGAUGUCAGAUUAGGUUGUUGGUGGGGUAAAAGCCUACCAAGCCGACGAUCUGUAGCUGGUCUGAGAGGACGACCAGCCACACUGGGACUGAGACACGGCCCAGACUCCUACGGGAGGCAGCAGUGGGGAAUUUUGGACAAUGGGCGCAAGCCUGAUCCAGCCAUGCCGCGUGCGGGAAGAAGGCCUUCGGGUU